UACGGAGGAUCCGAGCGUUAUCCGGAUUUAUUGGGUUUAAAGGGAGCGUAGGUGGAUUGUUAAGUCAGUUGUGAAAGUUUGCGGCUCAACCGUAAAAUUGCAGUUGAAACUGGCAGUCUUGAGUACAGUAGAGGUGGGCGGAAUUCGUGGUGUAGCGGUGAAAUGCUUAGAUAUCACGAAGAACGCCGAUUGCGAAGGCAGCUCACUGGACUGCAACUGACACUGAGGCUCGAAAGUGUGGGUAUCAAACAGG
rnacentral:rRNA from 1 species